rnacentral:misc_RNA from 1 species
GUGAAGAACGUAGCGAAAUGCGAUAAGUAAUGUGAAUUGCAGAAUUCAGUGAAUCAUCGAAUCUUUGAACGCACAUUGCGCCCGCCAGUAUUCUGGCGGGCAUGCCUGUCUGAGCGUCAUUUCAACCCUCAAGCAACUUCUGCUUGGUGUUGGGGAUCGGCCGUUAAACGCCGCCCCCGAAAUCUAUUGGCGAUCUCGCUGUAGCUUCCUAUGCGUAGUAGUAACAUCUCGCAUCUGGAGAGCGGCGCGGUCAUGCCGUAAAACACCCAACUUCUCAGGUUGACCUCAGAUCAGGUAGGAAUACCCGCUGAACUUAAGCAUAUCAAUAAGCGGAGGA